GUUGGAAUAAAUAGUUUAUUUAAUGCCAUAAUUACUUUGGUAAUUAAUGGAAUUAAAUGAUAUUUUUGGAAUCUACAUGUUGAGUAGAUUAAUUUGAUAUAUUUACUUGUUCAAAUCUGUAAAGAAUUGAAUGAGUAAUUAAUGCCCAAAGAUAUCCAUGGUUCGGACCACCUGUUUGCCCAAACAGUGCACGUGGUGACGGUUAAGGAC
rnacentral:lncRNA from 1 species